rnacentral:rRNA from 1 species
UCCCUAGGUGAACCUGCGGAAGGAUCAUUAAAGAAAAUUAGGGCGCCUUUACUUAACCCUAUUGGGCCUGACCUCCAUUAUUCACACUUGUGCACCAAAACCAAAGUUGCAACGGCGAAAAGAGGACUUUUCGCGAAGUCUUCAAAGUAGUUAUUGCUUCAUUUUACUAUUAUACUCUAAGUCAAAGAAAGUAAAUAAACCAUAACAAAAUAAAACUUUCAACAACGGAUCUCUUGGCUCUCGCAUCGAUGAAGAACGCAGCGAAAAGUGAUAAGUAAAGUGAAAUGCAGAAAUCAGUGAAACAUCGAAACUUUGAACGCACCUUGCGCUCUCUGGUAUUCCCGAGAGCAUGUCUGUUUGAGUGUCAUGAACUCUUCAACCCACCCGUUCCUGGUUGGAUCGAGUUGGUGUUUGGAUCUUGAAAGUUGCUGGCUUGAUUUCUUAGGAAGUGAAAGCGUAGCUCGUUCGUAAAACAUUAGCAUCUCAAAUUCUGAACUUCGGAUUGACUCAGCGUUAUAGACUAUUCGCUGAGGACACAAGUAACAUUGUGGCCCAGUUGAAAGAUAACUAGAAGCUUCUAAACCCUUACUAGUCAAAACUAUAAGAUUAGACCUCAGAUCAGGCAGGAUUACCCCCUGAACUUAAGCAUAUCAAAAAGCGGAGGAAAAG